UGGGGAAUAUUGCACAAUGGGCGCAAGCCUGAUGCAGCCAUGCCGCGUGUGUGAAGAAGGCCUUCGGGUUGUAAAGCACUUUCAGCGAGGAGGAAGGUGGUGAACUUAAUACGUUCAUCAAUUGACGUUACUCGCAGAAGAAGCACCGGCUAACUCCGUGCCAGCAGCCGCGGUAAUACGGAGGGUGCAAGCGUUAAUCGGAAUUACUGGGCGUAAAGCGCACGCAGGCGGUUUGUUAAGUCAGAUGUGAAAUCCCCGGGCUCAACCUGGGAACUGCAUUUGAAACUGGCAAGCUAGAGUCUCGUAGAGGGGGGUAGAAUUCCAGGUGUAGCGGUGAAACGCGUAGAGAUCUGGAGGAAUACCGGUGGCGAAGGCGGCCCCCUGGACGAAGACUGACGCUCAGGUGCGAAAGCGUGGGGAGCAAAACAGGAUUAGAUACCCUGGUAGUCCACGCUGUAAACGAUGUCGAUUUUGGAGGUUGUGCCCUUGAGGCGUGGCUUCCGGAGCUAACGCGUUAAAUCGACCGCCUGGGGAGUACGGCCGCAAGGUUAAAACUCAAAGGAAUUGACGGGGUCAUAGCUGUUUCCUG
rnacentral:rRNA from 1 species